UACGUAGGGGGCAAGCGUUGUCCGGAAUUAUUGGGCGUAAAGCGCGCGCAGGCGGUCAUUUAAGUCUGGUGUUUAAUCCCGGGGCUCAACCCCGGAUCGCACUGGAAACUGGGUGACUUGAGUGCAGAAGAGGAGAGUGGAUUUCCACGUGUAGCGGUGAAAUGCGUAGAUAUGUGGAGGAACACCAGUGGCGAAGGCGACUCUCUGGGCUGUAACUGACGCUGAGGCGCGAAAGCGUGGGGAGCAAACAGG
rnacentral:rRNA from 1 species